rnacentral:rRNA from 1 species
GUUGAUCCUGCCAGUAGUCAUAUGCUUGUCUCAAAGAUUAAGCCAUGCAUGUCUAUGCACAAGCCGAAAUACGGUAAAGCCGCGAAUGGCUCAUUACAACAGCCAUAGUUUAUUGGAUCUUGACUAUCCUACUUGGAUAACUGUAGUAAUUCUAGAGCUAAUACAUGCACCAAAGCCCGGACCUCGCGGAAAGGGCGCAUUUAUUAGACCAAAGCCAAUCGGGUCUCGGCCCGUCUUUGGUGACUCUGAAUAACUACGCUGAGUGCACGGUCCUCGCACCGGCACCGCAUCUUUCAAGUGUCUGCCUUAUCAACUGUCGAUGGUAGUUUAUGUGACUACCAUGGUUGUAACGGGUAACGGAGAAUAAGGGUUCGUCUCCGGAGAGGGAGCCUGAGAAAUGGCUACCACAUCCAAGGAAGGCAGCAGGCGCGCAAAUUACCCACUCUCAGAACGAGGAGGUAGUGACGAAAAAUAACGAGGCGGUUCUCUAUGAGGUCCGUCAUCGGAAUGGGUACAAUCUAAACCCAUUAACGAGUAUCAAUUGGAGGGCAAGUCUGGUGCCAGCAGCCGCGGUAAUUCCAGCUCCAAUAGCGUAUAUUAAAGUUGUUGCGGUUAAAAAGCUCGUAGUUGGAUCUGCAAACAAGGAUGCCGGUCGGCCUUAACGGUUCGCACUGGUACUCCUAGUUUACUCGGCAGGCCGACCCUUGGUGCUCUUAACCGAGUGCCCUGGGCGACCCGCACGUUUACUUUGAAAAAAUUUGAGUGCUCAAAGCAGGCUCUUAGCCUGAAAACCCGUGCAUGGAAUAAUGGAAUAGGACCUCGGUUCUAUUUUGUUGGCUUUCAGAGCACGAGGUAAUGAUUAAGAGGGACAGACGGGGGCAUUCGUACUGCUACGUUAGAGGUGAAAUUCUUGGAUCGUAGCAUGACGAACUACUGCGAAAGCAUUUGCCAAGAAUGUUUUCAUUAAUCAAGAACGAAAGUUAGAGGUUCGAAGGCGAUCAGAUACCGCCCUAGUUCUAACCGUAAACGAUGCCAACUAGCGAUCCGCGGGAGUUAAAUAUAUGACUUCGCGGGGAGCUUCCGGGAAACCAAAGUUUUUGGGUUCCGGGGGAAGUAUGGUUGCAAAGCUG